rnacentral:lncRNA from 1 species
AUAAUUUAAUGCUUAAGAAGGAACUGCAAUAGGACCACUGAGUGGCAAUCUUUAAGGUAUGGUACAUACAUGUUAGUGUAUAGAAUAUGAUUUACUAGAAAGCAGUGGUAGUAAUUAAAUGAGCCCCCUUUUUUAUGUCUCCUUUUAUUUUCUCAAGCUCAUAGCCUGCACAAUCCCUCCCUUUGAGAGACAGUACACAAAUGCAUUUUAACUCACUGGUAAAGUCAUGCUAGAUGGGACACUCAGCCCCUAAGGACAGCUAGCUCCUUCAGGAAAGGCAACAGAUGUUAAAAAAUCAUUUAAUCAUGGCCCCAGCCAUCACUCAAAACAUUAGAAAGUUUUGCUUAAGGAGCUCCAGUGGCGCAAUCGGUUAGCGCGCGGUACUUAUAAGAAAGUUUUGCUUAAGCCUGUACAGUAGUCUACAAGAUGCAAAAAGUCACCAGACUACAAAUUUGCAUAUAUGAGCACCCCCCAUUAAAAAUGCAUAUUUAAUCAAUUAGGUAUUGCAUUUUUCUCCAAGAAAAUUUAUGCUAUGUUAUGAGGAUCACAACAUUUUUGUUCUGUAAUAUAAAAACAAAAUUUUGGUGUAUUACAGUGUGAUGACAAGAGUGGUAUUCUAAAUUAAGAAACCAAUGCCAGAGAAAUUCUUUCAAAUUAUUUGUUAGACAUAUAAUUAGUAGUCAUGUUCAAAAAGGCAUAUUCUCAGCAUUAAAAAUAUUUUAUGUAUGCAGAGUUUUAAACAACCUAGACAAUAGUUUGUUGUUAAGAUGUUAAACAAAAAAGACUACAUCAACACAAGGAUACAUUUUGCUGCCAGAUAUCAAACAAAAUUUAGAACUGCAUGAGCCCCUAAAGAACAAUUUUGUAAGUCAAACCCAACUCCUUAAAUAAUAUAAAAAUUUGGGGUAGUGUUCACUAAAUUUGGUUCCACUUUCUUCAAAGAUUAGUUGGAAAUCCUUAUACAAAUAUCAAUGCAUAGCGAUAGAGUUUCUCAGGUCUCAGAGCUGUUAGCAAUUUUUAAUUAUUGACAAUAAAGCUUGUAAACAAGAGCUAAUAAAAUUUAUCCCUACAAAUAUAAGAACUCAAGAAAUUAAUAAGAUAUCUAGUAUCAUGAGAUUUUAUUCUGAAAUCAUAUGAUUGAUUUGGAGAAUAUCUCCUUUUUAAGAAUUGAAAAUGUAUAUAUAGGGAUAGAUUAUAUAUAUAUAAUAUAUGAAUAUGUGAACUUUCUAAGGGGAUAAAUUUAAAUUAUAUACUGAAAAGGAACAAGAUCUAAAGAGGCUACAAAUUACCAGCAUCUAAAUCUACUAAAACAUGUAAAAAAGACAAAUUACUUGAUAAACUUUUGUUUUUAAAAUAUUUUUGAAGUUAGUUAUUCUGAAUGGAAUAAAAAAUGCAACAUCUGUGAGUACUGCUUGACUCAUUAGUUUAACUCUUUCAAUAAGAAAAAAACAGAACAAAAUAUGCAUUUGCCGUGUUUUUCUAGGUUCAGAUGCACUUUGGUAGAUAUACACAUUAUUUUCACAUUCAAAAAUGUAUGGAGAAAAGUCAAUUAAAGUGUCAACACUUUUGAAGAUAUUAACCAUAAGAUGAAACUUUGAAUAACGGUAAUGUUAUGAGAAAAUUCAAAAUAAUAAAACCAUAUUGGAAAUAACAUCUUAAAAACACCACUGAAAAGCUAUUGGGCAUGCGAGUGACUAAGGAAUUGAUUAAAGCAGUGAGUAUGUAUCAAAAAUAAUUAUUAUGAGUAUGUUAUUUUUAAUAUUCUGGAUUCUAGAUUAUCAGUGUGAAGUUUUUUAAUUUGCUUUGAUCAUAUGGUUUGAUUAUAUUUUGAAAUAUUUUUAUUUUUUGGAAGGGUUUUGAACAUAAUUUAAUCAUUAUAGUGACCAAUAUUAUGUAAGCUGUUUAUAUGUAUCCUAAAGACAGGAAAAUUGUUCCAUAUUCUUUAGCACUAAUAGACAUGUCUAUGUUAAAGGGUACUUGUGAUAUGUUAUAUUCUAAAUAUAUUGAUUUAAUAAAUAUAAGAAAGAAUGAGUUAGUGCCUAAUAAAACUUUUACUAAUAAAAACUUUACUAAUAAAAUAUUAAUAAUAAUUUAUUGAAACCCUUGAAAGAUAAUGUUUUUGAUCAUUGGUCAGCUUUGAGUAUCUAUUUAAAGCUCAUCAUGGUGGUGAUGCCUAUAAUCCCAGCCACUCAAGAGGCUAAGGAAGAAGAAUCAAAAUUCCUGGUCAAUUUCAGGCAUUUGGUAAGGCCCUGUUUCAAAAAAUAAAAAGGGAUGAGGGUGUGUUGCCGCGAUAGAGGGCCUCUAGAUUUAACCCUCAGUACUAAGAAAGAAAGAAAAAGAGAUAAGGGAAGGGGGAAGGGAAGGAAGGAGAGAAGAAAGAGUAAAAAAAAAAACAUUUAGUUUGACUAAGGCAUUAUGAUGCUCUCAGUGUUACGACAUUUAAUUGCUCAAAAGCUUCCUUUUGAGCUUGUAAUUGUUGAUCUUCCAUCUGAAAUUUAAUGUCUCACUAUAUAAGAAAUGAUUCUUUUUUCAGUUUAUUUAAAAUAUAAAUUUAUGCAAUAUACAUGGGGUCAUUUUUGAGCAAUUUACAAUAUUUUUCCUGGAAAGAAAUGACAUAAUUGGCAAUAUGAAUAUAGCAAAUAAGUCCUAAAGACAGGUUUUUGUGUGGUUGUGAAAAACCAAUAUACUAAUUGUAUUUAUAUUUUCACAUCAAUUACUAGCUAUCUGUCUCUGAUCAUAGAUAGAAAGUGGCUGAAAAGUCCUUAGAACUCAAGCCUCAGAACCCAGUCUGGUUGUCUGUUAUCUUGAUAUCUGUAAUGGAAAAAUGGAAGCCCUAAAUCAGAUGAUGCCCACAGUCUCCUACAACUCUGAUGAUCCUAUGAAAGGUAAAUCCAACUUAUUUCUGUAUCUUAAGAUACUUUUAAAACUAUAUUUCUUAUCAAAUUCAGACUUUUCAAUAACUUAAAUUACAUCAGUAAUAAUGAGGUUUUUCCAAUACCUUCAUUAGAAGCAAGUCAAUGGGGACAAUUAGAAAAAAAACAUCUGCCAACUAGGGAAUGAUGAUGCAAAAAUUAUAAUUUCCUUCAUCCAUUUAAGAAUCUUAUGUGUGCUUAUUAUGGCCACCACAUUUUAACCUACUAGUUGAUAAAUUACUUCUUUGGCCUUCUUUUCACUGUUUAGGAGUAAAACAUAAAUAAGUAAAAAUCUCAGGUAGGUACUUAAUAAGCAUUUCCUCUGGUAUUACAAGCAAACAACUUCUCAAUGCAUAUCUCAUCUGGAAAUCUUGAGAAUACAGACUGUGCAAACAACUCAGGAUAUUCAGGUCAUCUGAUACAUGUGUAUGUGAGUACACUGUGGAGCAGCAGGGAAGGUCACAGAACACAAGGUAAAUCACUUGCUUUGUCAGGAUAACA